CAAUAGCGUAUAUUAAAGUUGUUGCAGUUAAAAAGCUCGUAGUUGGAUUUCUGGUUGAAGCGACCGGUCGGGCGUUGAUUCGUCUGCACUGGAGUCGGUUUUGGCCAUCCUCUAGGAAAGUGCGUCUGGUAUUAAGUUAUCGGGCGUAUGAUCCUGGUCUUUUACUGUGAAAAAAUUAGAGUGUUUAAAGCAGGCCUUCUCCUUGAAUACAUUAGCAUGGAAUAAUAAGAUAGGACUUUGGUCUAUUUUGUUGGUUUGCAGACCGAAGUAAUGAUUAAUAGGGAUAGUUGGGGGUAUUUAUAUUCCGAUGUCAGAGGUGAAAUUCUUAGAUUUUCGGAAGAUAAACUUAUGCGAAAGCAUUUACCAAGGAUGUUUUCAUUA
rnacentral:rRNA from 1 species